rnacentral:rRNA from 1 species
UAAAAACCCCGACUUCGGAAGGGGUGUAUUUAUUAGAUACAAAACCAAUGCCCUUCGGGGCUCUUUGGUGAUUCAUGAUAACUAUACGAAUCGCACGGCCUUGCGCCGGCGAUGGUUCAUUCAAAUUUCUUCCCUAUCAACUUUCGAUGUUUGGGUAUUGGCCAAACAUGGUUGCAACGGGUAACGGAGGGUUAGGGCUCGACCCCGGAGAAGGAGCCUGAGAAACGGCUACUACAUCCAAGGAAGGCAGCAGGCGCGCAAAUUACCCAAUCCCGACUCGGGGAGGUAGUGAGGAUAAAUACUGAUACAGGGCCCUGUCGGGCGUUGUAAUAGGAGGGAGGAAAUUAAAACGGGGGUAAUAACGAUAAAUUUGGAUAGGGGAAGGGUUCUGGCGUCAACGGCGCGGCAAGGGCGAGGGAGUGAAGACGGACUUGGAUGAGGGACGUACAGUAGAGGAGAAGGAGGUGGGGGGAAGUGGGGUAUUGCCGAUUUGCGAUGAACAGCAGCAAUGGGAGAUCAAGGCACUAACGUCUGGGGGGGAGGCACGACCCAGUAGUGGUAGGGUGGUGGUAAAGA